rnacentral:rRNA from 1 species
UACGUAGGGGGCAAGCGUUGUCCGGAAUCAUUGGGCGUAAAGAGCGUGUAGGCGGCUCGGUAAGUCCGCUGUGAAAGUCCAGGGCUCAACCCUGGAAUGCCGGUGGAAACUGUCGAGCUAGAGUCCGGAAGAGGCGAGUGGAAUUCCUGGUGUAGCGGUGAAAUGCGCAGAUAUCAGGAGGAACACCAAUGGCGAAGGCAGCUCGCUGGGCCUGACCUGACGCUGAGGAGCGAAAGCGUGGGGAGCGAACAGG